GUAAGUACCUGCGUUGUACAGGGCCUAAGCCUCAAGGCAACCGCAGCGUUCCACCACCCAAUCCACUCGUUUUCUCCCCAACGACCCGAUCCACUCGUCCUCUCCCCCAAAAUUUCCCCAAUCUUCCUCCUCUCCCAGAGUAUCUCUCCUCCCUUUAUCCAAUCCUAGUUUGUUGGGACUCAAUCCUCCAAUCCAAGGCAGUCGUUGGUCAUCAAGAGAGUAAUGGCGGCCAGUCCAUAUAAACUCCCAGUACAGUGUGCCUCACUGGAGCCAUGGCGGACGGAGGAGCGGAAGCCGGCGAUGGACAGCAAGUCGUGGCCGUCGUGACGACCGGUGGCGCAACACGCGACCGCAGAGGAUCUGGUUCUGGCGGCCCUCACCGUGCUCGUGCAGUCAAGUUUCGACCGCGUCCGCCUUCGUACAUCCUUCGAUGGCGGCGAUUUGGUUGCGGUGCCAAGAUCCUUGACCUGGACGAGUACAUAGGGGCUGGCGGUGAAGCAGGUGUAGGCCAUGGAGGCGUUGUACCCGGCACUGCAGCGGGUCAUGCGGUUAACCAGGUUGGCGCGGCAGCAGGUGCUGGGCAGGACAGCGCGUCCGUAGGUGUUGGGCAAGACAGCACGGCGGCAUCAAUGCAUCCUGGGGCUAACCAUGACGGAGCGGCUGCUAGUGCUAGGAAUGCUGCGGAGAAGAUGAGCAAGCACUACUAGCUCCGUAACUUGGCUGGAUGCAAUCUUCAAUUUGUUUGGCUUUUAGUUUGGCUGGACGUAGUAAGUAUGGCUACAUAUUGUUAUGCUCUGCAAGUAUGAAAAUCGAUUUGUACUAUUGGAGUAUGGCAGAUAUUAUUACUAUGGAU
rnacentral:rRNA from 1 species